rnacentral:rRNA from 1 species
GGACGAACGCUGGCGGCGUGCCUAACACAUGCAAGUCGAGCGAGGAGAUCCUUCGGGAUGAUCCUAGCGGCGGACGGGUGAGUAACACGUGGGCAACCUGCCUCAUAGAGAGGAAUAGCCUUCCGAAAGGGAGAUUAAUACCUCAUAACAUUGCAGUUUCGCAUGGAACAGCAAUUAAAGGAGCAAUCCGCUAUGAGAUGGGCCCGCGGCGCAUUAGCUAGUUGGUGAGGUAACGGCUCACCAAGGCGACGAUGCGUAGCCGACCUGAGGAGGGUGAUCGGCCACAUUGGGACUGAGACACGGCCCAGACUCCUACGGGAGGCAGCAGGUGGGGAAUAUUGCACAAUGGGGGAAACCCUGAUGCAGCCAACGCCGCGUGAGUGAUGACGGCCUUCGGGUUGUAAAGCUCUGUCUUCAGGGACGAUAAUGACGGUACCUGAGGAGGAAGCCACGGCUAACUACGUGCCAGCAGCAGC